rnacentral:rRNA from 1 species
AUUGAACGCUGGCGGCAGGCCUAACACAUGCAAGUCGAACGAGUGGCGGACGGGUGAGUAAUGUCUGGGAAACUGCCCGAUGGAGGGGGAUCACUACUGGAAACGGUAGCUAAUACCGCAUACCAUCGGAUGUGCCCAGAUGGGAUUAGCUCGUAGGGGGGGUAACGGCUCACCUAGGCGACGAUCCCUAGCUGGUCUGAGAGGAUGACCAGCAAGACUGGAACGGAGACACGGUCCAGACUGCUACGGGAGGAAGCAGGGGGGAAUAUUGCACAAUGGGCGAAAGCCUGAUGCAGCCAUGCCGGGUGUAGGAAGAAGGCCUUCGGGUUGUAAAGUACUUUCAGCGGGGAGGCGUUACUCGCAGAAGAAGCACCGGCUAACUCCGUGCCAGCAGCCGCGGUAAUAC